UGCUAUGUGAGGCAGCAUGAACAUAUCUUAUUUUUCAAGACUUUGUGAUAGUUGUGGUAUUCAUGAGCAUUCAGAAUUUUUUUUGUAGCAUGAUUAAGUG